CGGAGGCUUCACCCUUCGCUCCACAGGGUCGGCAGCAGGGCGGGGCCUCCGGAAGCUCCGCCCCACGCGUUCCCGGGGCGCAUGCGACGUGGGGCGGAGCGUCUGGAAGCUCUGCCCGUCGCACUGCAGAGUCGGCCGAGGCGCACGAGUUAUUUUUCACGCUCCGCCCCGCUGCAGGCUAAAGUGCGUGGGCGGGAAGCGGUGGGCCGGGUGCCAUCUGGCUCCGCCCUUCUCCUGUGGUGUGGGCCAGGCGGCGGGUUCCUCCUCCUGCAGCAGCCACAGGCUCCACCCUGAUCCUUCUCCCGCGGCUUGGAUCUUUCUCCCGCGGCUUGGAUCCAUCUCCCGCAAUCUCCGUGCGCGUCCCCAGUCAGUACCCGCAGCCUCCCGACGCACCCGCUGGCUCCAAGCCUCCCUACCCCAGGUUUCCUGGCUAAGAGAGAGACAGAGGGAGAGGGGGAAGAAAGAGAACAGGCAAUGGGAGGUUGAUGGUGAGAGCUUAUUGAAAGACAAGAGGGAGGAAACCCACAUCCUUCAUUCCCCAUCCAUUCAUUUAUUGCCUUAUUUAUUCCAUUGAAUCUUCACAGCUCUAGAAAAAGCGUGCUACAAUUAUUCCCUUUAUUAAAUGAGGUCACUGAGGCACAGACAGUUUAAGAAAUUUGCCAGCGGGCACAGUGGCUCACUCCGGUAAUCCCAGAACUUUGAGAGGGGGAGGAAGGUGGAUCCCUUGAGCCCAGGAGUUGGAGAACAGCCUGGCCAACAUGGCGAGACCCCGUUUCUACAAAAAUUAGCCAAAAUUAGCCAAACUGGCUCACGCUUGUAGUCCCAGGUACUCGAGAGGCUGAGGCCGGAGGAGCGUGUGAGCCCAGGAGGCAGUGGCUGCGCUGAGCCCUGAUUGUGCCACUGCACUCCAGCCUGGGCAACAGAGUAAGACCCUGUCUCGAAAAAAAAAAAAAGGAAAAAAGAAAAAAAGAACUGGCUGGGAGUGGUGGCUCAUGCCUGUAAUCCCAGCACUUUGGGAGGCCGAGGUGGGCAGAUCACAAGAUCAGAAGUUCGAGACCAGCCUAGCCAACAUGGUGAAACCUCAUCUCUACUAAAAAUACAAAAAUCAGCCAGGCAUGGUGGCAGGCACCUAUAAUCCCAGCUACUAGGGAACCUGAGGCAGUAGAAUCGCUUGAACCUGGGAGGCAGAGGUUGCAGUGAGCCGAGGUUGCGCCACUGCACUCCAGCCUGGACAACAGAGCAAGACUCCGUCUCAAA
rnacentral:lncRNA from 1 species